CUGAAAAUCCUUUUCAAUAUGGCGGAUCGUCUUCUCGGAUGGAGUCUUCAAGUGGAGUAAUUUGCUGAAGUGGAAGCUAAGAAGUGUGCAUCAGGAAUCAAGAUUCAUCUGAUGCAUCAGAGAUCAUCUUUUAUCACAUUUGCUCUGUGGGAGAACCCUUUUUAUUGUGAUUGACCUUGUCAGAGGACCUUUAUUUGACUGAGGAGACAGAUGAGCCAGACAUCACAGACACUCCUGUUGCCCUCGUCAUGAUGGUCACCGAGAGCACCUUGGAAAUGGUCCCCUUCACCCCCGACAGCUUUUCCAUUGCGGUGGAGGACAACAUGAUGAUCAUGAGUAUCUCCAGAUUCUCAGAUGCAUUCGCACUGGUAUUUGGCUUGAUGUAUGUCCUGCACUUGGACUACCCCAGCAAACCCACCAACACUUUUACAUUCAUCCAAAAAGUGGUGAUGGGGCUUGAUGAUGGUAAGCCACUGAAACCCUGCCUACUCAGUCUAAAACAUGACCUGCUCCAGUAAGAGUUGGCAUUGUUGCAAGGUGUGUGUAGGAGAAGAACUACAGCACACCAGUUUGUUUUAAAGAAAUGUUGUUGUUGAAAGCAUCUUAAAGUUUACAGCAGGUGGGUAAUGUUCCGUCAAACAAACUACCUCAGGUGCUCAUGUUUGCACUUUAUUGUUUUCAUACAACACAGUUGUGUUAAAUUAUAAUAACUUCUGAAGUUUCAUUAUGCUUGUCUUUAUCACAGAAGACUAUACAUUUUAUUUACUUGUUUACUUUUCUUUUCUUUUCCAUUUGAAGUAACAUUUUUUUGCUGAAAAUGUACAUGUUUUAAAAUGUAUGUGUUUUAAAAAUUUAGCUGUUUGAAAUCAAGCACUUUGAAGCUCACUUGUGAGCUUUCUUAUUGUGUAUUUUUGUACAAAGAGAUAAAGUUAAGGUCAGCUAAACAGUAGAUAAGAGAUGUUCAUGUGCUCUAUGCUAAAUUUAAUGUUCAGCAAAGGUUUUAAUAUCUUGCUGUGGAUUUAAAAAAAACACUUAUGAUUGUGUUUGAAUUUAAAAAACUGAAAUGAAUAAAAAAAAUAAUUGACCAGUU